rnacentral:lncRNA from 1 species
UUGUGUUCUCCAUAUUUUUAUAAUGACAGUCUACUGGGAAUUGUGUCCAGAAGCAGCAGCACAUUAUUGAAUAUUUUCUUUCCCAUCUGUCUUGCCUCCAUCUUCAAUCAAUCAAUCAAUCAAAGAAAGGAAGAAAGGAAGGACGGAAGGAAGGAAGGAAGGAGAAGGAAAGAAAGANUCUUGCCUCCAUCUUCAAUCAAUCAAUCAAUCAAAGAAAGGAAGAAAGGAAGGAAGGAGAAGGAAAGAAAGAAAAGAAAGAAAGAAAGAAGAAAGGACGGAAGGAAGGAAACAUUCCUUAUGUUACUAAAGAAAUGGAGGAUUCUAUUUCCUGAAAUACCUAGAGUAUUUGACUUUCUGAAUUGCUUUAGCCAAUGGAAUACAACAGAAGAAAUGUGUGAUUUUGACCCUCAAUUUCAAGAAGAUUUAUAUUCUUUCUUUAUUUUGGAGCCCCACUACCACAGUGACUAUUCUGGGCCAAUGUAAUGGAAGGUGAGAGCCUAUGGGGAACAGAUUUAAGAGCCUUCAGUAACUGUCUUCUCUAGACCAACUAGUUCCCUUCAACUUGGAAAUUGGUUAAAUAUGGAGGAUUUGAAGAGAGUAGUUAAUAUAAGAGAUUUGAAGUGCUCUCUGCUAAAUUCAAAAUUAUGCCUUAUCAUGGAGUUUGUUCAUGCAAUUUGAAACCUAUCCCUUCAGAUGAUGCUGCAAGAGACAAAAAAUCCGGGAUGCCUAAACAACUGUGUGUGUUUGUGUAUGUGUGUAUGUGUGCGUGCACAUGUGUAGUAAUAUUCUUAGAUACUUACAGUCAC